UUAGGGCCUUGCGUUCUUGGCACAGCUGCUAAGAACAUAGAGGGACAUUUAGGUUCCGUGGCGAUUGAAUGAGUGAGGGAGCAAUGUCUUGCCCUGGCAAUAUUUUAUGACUAACACAAUUUUUUUUUCUCCUUUCCAGGAAUCAUUAGAACAACAAACACAACAAAACCUGUGUCUCAUUCAGUUGACACCUCAUAAAGAUUUAUUUUCACAACAUUUAACAUCUGUUAACUAUGAUGUAUUUUUUCACAUGACAAAGCAGUGUUUUUUGAAGCGCCAUGGCAAGCUAAUCGACCACAUAACUUCAUUGAGUCCAAUUGAUGCAAUGGACAUAUUGAAGAAAAUAAGACAAGAUAAAACAAUAAAAAUAAUAGACAUGUAUCCUUCAGACUUUAAAUGCCUUUUUGAAACUAUAGAAUGUUCCAAAGAUCACACCUGUAAGUGGCUAUAUGAUGACUUCAUGGAAGAUGUAAUCGUAUAGGAAACCGGACUGCCAAGACAGUAGCUGGAGCCGUUUAUUUUAUUUGGAGAUUAUAAAACAGUUGAAAAAGAACUAAGUUUUUAAAGCUCACAGUGUUUCAACAGAAGGUAACUAUUCUUGUUUUACACAAACAAGGCAGGUAAUUUCUUCUGAAGUUGAUACCAUUAGUACAUUGGAUAAAACAGUGGCUGCUAUUUUAUUUACAACUGAAUAAAAUGAAAACUUCACUUAAUUGUGGAUUUAAUCAGCUUAGAUUUGUUUUUUUUAAAAUCCUAUCUACUGUCAACAUACUGGUAGUUGUACGGAAUUACCAGAUGAAAUUAACUUGUAAAAAUCCUUUUAGCUAAAUACUUACAUUGCAUUACUUUAAAUAUUCCACUUUUACUGUUGGUUUUUGCAUCCUCCGGGGGCAGUGUUCAUUUUUAAAAUUAGAAAGUAAAUUAAACUGAUUUAAAUAGUUUGUUUUACUUUUCAGUUUGUUGAAAGGAUUAACAAAUACUGUGCAAUUACAUUUUAAAAUGGCUUACGCUUUUUAGAAAUUAAAAUAUUUUUUAAAAGAUUUUGUGAUUUUUUUUUUUUUGGUUGUUUCAAAUGAAACAAAGUUGACCCUAACUUAUUCACCUUAAAUUCCGUCAUGUAUGGUCAAUGUACAGUCAAUAAAUAAUUCAGUCUGUUACUAAA